UUUUUUUAAAAAGUAAAGAAACUCUCUGUAUUCUCUAAACACAAAUCGCGCGCGCAUCAGCUCUGCCCUAGUAUUCCGCCGAGCUCUGACCUUGUCCUUUAUCUGUAUUUUCUCAAAACAUAAGUUGUAAAUCUGGUUGUGUGUGAAUCUGCCCAAGUUUCCAUCUCGCUCGUUUGAGAAUCUGUGAACUGUACAUAAUCGCGGUAUGUGUCCGUUGGGAGUAUCAUCGUGGAAUGAUAUUAAGCAAGAAAAGUUAAAUCAUAUGUGGGCGGCUAUUGAGGAUAAAUUUGAGAGUGUUGACAUGAAUGAUUAUCGUAAUCAUAUCUUGGAUGGAUGAAAGAGUUAUGGAAUAAAUGGAGAAGACACUUGCAUGCAAAAUAUGUGAAGGAUAAGCCAAUCCAACAGGCUCUUAAGAAUAUUCCAAAGGGAGUAGAUAAGAAAGAAUGGGAGUGCUUAGUAAAGGAACAUUUUUCAUCAGAAAGUUUUCAGGCAAGAAGCAAUAGGAAUGCAGCAAACCGAGCUAAGUUGAAGAUGCUUCAUGAUAUUGGUAGCAAACCUAUUCGAGAGAUUAUUUAUCAAAAGGGUGGGGAAAAAUGUUGUGGACCUCAUACUCGUAGCUAUGUAUUUGGCUUUGGGAGUGGAGUAAAGGCGAAAGACUUGAAAGGUGGCACUUCUUCAAAGGUUGAAUUACUGUCCGCGCUACGUUCAACUCGAGAGGAAAACAAAUCUUUGAAUAAGGAAAAUAAUUCAUUACAGGACCGCUUGUCUACCUUAGAAGAUGAGAUGAAAGAAAUGAAGAAAAUAAGGGAAUCAUUCGCUGCUCAACAAUCACAUGUCUCGCCUACGAUAUCGCCCGUUUCAACUGAAUGACCACUAUUUUUUUGUCUGCUGGCCAAGUUUUGAAGAUUGAAGCUACAAGAAUGCAAGUUUGGAAGACAUACAAGCUCAUUAUUACUUUGCUAGGAAUAUUAUGUAAAACUUGAUAUU